UGAAUCAAUUGCUUCUUUUUACAUUUUGGUUGCUACAGAGACCAAUACAAUCUUUAGAUGGAGUUAGCAACUCUUAACCUGUGUCAAAGAAAGAGACCAAGAAUGAGCAUGAGUCGGAGAAGACCAGUGAAGCCUCACAGCGUGGAAGGAUGUGAAAAAGACCCAACAGCAGAGAAUAAGAGGAUGUGAGCUGUGCUGUGCUCACAAUGAAAUCAUUGGGAAUUUUGCCAUGAAAGUAGAACUGAGUUGUUCUUUCAGGCCCAGUCCUGCUUCUUCUGAAGUUGGUUGCUGUAGUGUCUCUGAUUGCCAUGAGCACACACUGAGGACAACCUUGGGAAUGUGCAUGGUGAAAGGUGUCACUGGCCAUCCUGUGUUCACUGAUGCAGUCUGUUGCUACUGUUUCAAGAAGUAGAUGGUAAGUGAAAAAUUUGCCAAACUCUUUUUUUCACCACUGCAAUUAAGAAGCCUGGUUCCAUCCUGAGGAGGCCAAUGACAGUAUGUUGGCGUGUUGCUCAAACCAACCCCCGGAGGUUUUUUGUACCCCUUUUGGUACAAAAACACUAGGGGAUUUACACUAGGGGAUAAAUAGGUGGUUCCAGAGCAAGAAGGAAAGAGCCAAAGUUGGAAGCUAACCACAAUACGUGGGUGUAAACGAUUACCAAAGGCUUCCAGUAACUCUGCUAUCAUCAGAGACUGGCUUUAUGGGUAUGGCCUCAAGAAGUUUCCCUCCACUUAAUUAAAGAGGCAGAUAAGUAUCUAGGUGGAGUGUGCAGAUAGGUUCUGAAUGAGUUACCCACUAAGGCUGGUUCGCUGCACCUAUUGUUAAAGCCAGAGUAUAAUAUCAGAUUAAUGCAUUAUAUUUGCCUAUUAUAGCACUAUGUCAUCAUUAUAUGACAUGUUAUAAUUAAAGCCCUGCAUUAGAAACAAAACUAUUUGGCUUGGGAUAAGUUGCCUUUACGACUUCUGUGGUUAUGAUUUCCUCCUUUUCUUAACCCCUUAAAACUGCAUAAUAUAGCUAUUUGUAACUGUAUAAAGAAAGUUUCUAGUUUCAGAUUCUAAUCUCAGGUAAUUCAAUGUAAGUAAAGUCAAAAUCUGGCACAUA